CAGGACGAACGCUGGCGGCGUGCCUAAUACAUGCAAGUCGAGCGGAUUUGUUCCUUCGGGNACAAGUUAGCGGCGGACGGGUGAGUAACACGUAGGUAACCUGCCUAUAAGACCUGGGAUAACUAUCGGAAACGAUAGCUAAGACCGGAUAACUGGUUUUCUCGCAUGGGAGAAUCAUGAAACACGGAGCAAUCUGUGGCUUAUAGAUGGGCCUGCGGCGCAUUAGCUAGUUGGUGAGGUAACGGCUCACCAAGGCGACGAUGCGUAGCCGACCUGAGAGGGUGAACGGCCACACUGGGACUGAGACACGGCCCAGACUCCUACGGGAGGCAGCAGUAGGGAAUCUUCCGCAAUGGACGCAAGUCUGACGGAGCAACGCCGCGUGAGUGAUGAAGGUUUUCGGAUCGUAAAGCUCUGUUGCCCUAGACGAAAAGCAAGAGGAGUAACUGCCUUUUGUGUGACGGUAUAGGAGAAGAAAGCCCCGGCUAACUACGUGCCAGCAGCCGCGGUAAUACGUAGGGGGCAAGCGUUGUCCGGAAUUAUUGGGCGUAAAGCGCGCGCAGGCGGUCAAUUAAGUCUGGUGUUUAAUCCCGGGGCUCAACCCCGGUUCGCAUCGGAAACUGGUUGACUUGAGUGUAGGAGAGGAAAGUGGAAUUCCACGUGUAGCGGUGAAAUGCGUAGAGAUGUGGAGGAACACCAGUGGCGAAGGCGACUUUCUGGCCUAUAACUGAC
rnacentral:rRNA from 1 species